CGGGACGUAGCGCAGCCUGGUAGCGCACCUGCUUUGGGAGCAGACAAGAGGGGGUUGCUCAAGUCCUUGAUAGCCUGGGCAAUCCCCUUGCCCCGC
rnacentral:tRNA from 1 species